GAUGAACGCUGGCGGCGUGCCUAAUACAUGCAAGUCGAGCGAACGGACGAGAAGCUUGCUUCUCUGAUGUUAGCGGCGGACGGGUGAGUAACACGUGGAUAACCUCCCUAUAAGACUGGGAUAACUUCGGGAAACCGGCGCUAAUACCGGAUGAUAUUUUGAACCGCAUGGUUCAAAAGUGAAAGACGGUCUUGCUGUCACUUAUAGAUGGAUCCGCGCUGCAUUAGCUAGUUGGUAAGGUAACGGCUUACCAAGGCAACGAUGCAUAGCCGACCUGAGAGGGUGAUCGGCCACACGGGAACUGAGACACGGUCCAGACUCCUACGGGAGGCAGCAGUAGGGAAUCUUCCGCAAUGGGCGAAAGCCUGACGGAGCAACGCCGCGUGAGUGAUGAAGGUCUUCGGAUCGUAAAACUCUGUUAUUAGGGAAGAACAUAUGUGUAAGUAACUGUGCACAUCUUGACGGUACCUAAUCAGAAAGCCACGGCUAACUACGUG
rnacentral:rRNA from 1 species